UCUUCACUGCAUCUGGACCUCCCUCUCCUGCCUGGAAACAUUUCUCCUCUGAGCCCAGAGCGCUGGUGUCCUGUAAGGAAUCUCCAGAUGGAAAGGAAAAGGCUCAAGCCCUGGGGCUGCCAGAGGACCAAGAAAGAAGACCGCAUCCACUUACCAGCCCCUUCAGGAAGCCCCCGAGGGACUGUCGCCGCUUCUCGGACCUCUUUGGGGUCUUGUCCCCAUUCUGCAGUGAGUUUGCC